UACAGAGACUGCGAGCGUUAUUCGGAUUCACUGGGCGUAAAGGGUGCGCAGGCGGCCGUGUGUGUGAGGCGUGAAAGCCCGGGGCUUAACCCCGGAAUUGCACCUCAAACUAUAUGGCUAGAGCAUUGGAGAGGGUAGCGGAAUUCACGGUGUAGCAGUGAAAUGCGUAGAUAUCGUGAGGAACACCAGAGGCGAAGACGGCUACCUGGACAAUUGCUGACGCUCAGGCACGAAAGCGUGGGGAGCAAAAGGG
rnacentral:rRNA from 1 species